AGCGAACGCUUGCGGCAGGCCUAACACAUGCAAGUCGAUCGAGCCCUUCGGGGUUAGUGGCGGACGGGCGAGUAACACGUGGGAACGUGCCUUUAGGUUCGGAAUAACUCAGGGAAACUUGUGCUAAUACCGAAUGUGCCCUUCGGGGGAAAGAUUUAUCGCCUUUAGAGCGGCCCGCGUCUGAUUAGCUAGUUGGUGAGGUAAUGGCUCCCCAAGGCUACCAUCAGUAGCUGGUCUGAGAGGAUGACCAGCCACAUUGGGACUGAGACACGGCCCAAACUCCUACGGGAGGCAGCAGUGGGGAAUCUUGCGCAAUGGGCGAAAGCCUGACGCGGCCAUGCCGCGUGGAUGAUGAAGGUCUUAGGAUUGUAAAAUCCUUUCACCGGUGAAGAUAAUGACUGUAGCCGGAGAAGAAGCCCCGGCUAACUUCGUGCCAGCCGCCGCAGUAAUAC
rnacentral:rRNA from 1 species